UACAGAGGUCCCAAGCGUUGUUCGGAUUCACUGGGCGUAAAGGGUGCGUAGGUGGCGGGGUAAGUCUGAUGUGAAAUCUCCGAGCUUAACUCGGAAACUGCAUCGGAUACUAUUUCGCUCGAGGGUUGGAGGGGGGGACUGGAAUACUUGGUGUAGCAGUGAAAUGCGCAGAUAUCGGGAGGAACACCCGUGGCGAAGGCGGGUCCCUGGGACGGUACUGACGGCUGAGACGCGAAAGCGUGGGGAGCGAACAGG
rnacentral:rRNA from 1 species